UGGCGGACGGGUGAGUAAUGUCUGGGAAACUGCCCGAUGGAGGGGGAUAACUACUGGAAACGGUAGCUAAUACCGCAUAACGUCGCAAGACCAAAGAGGGGACCUUCGGGCCUCUUGCCAUCGGAUGUGCCCAGAUGGGAUUAGCUAGUAGGUGGGGUAACGGCCCACCUAGGCGACGAUCCCUAGCUGGUCUGAGAGGAUGACCAGCCACACUGGAACUGAGACACGGUCCAG
rnacentral:rRNA from 1 species